rnacentral:lncRNA from 1 species
UUCUAUUUCUAUCAACUCCACCCCAAUUAUAUAAAUCUAGGCCAAUAAUCAAAUCACCACUUCAAAAUUUAUUUCAUAUGAGCUUCAUCCCGAUAAUAACUGACACAUUCAACCUCAAGCAUAAUUACAGGGAAUAAUAUGUCCCUCUUGAUGCCAGGUAAAUUGCAACUAGUUGAGUUCUGCAAUAAACAAAUAACUAACCUAGACAUCUAUUUCAUUUUCUAAUAAGCUAGAAAUCUUCAACAAUAAUGGACAGAUCUAAGACUAGAAUUAGUAGAAGUCCUUGAAACAACGGAUAUUCAUGUUACUAAACGCACUGCGUAAUCUAAUUUGUAUCAGCAUUCCGUUCCAACCACCCCCUCCAUUCCCCCACCCUCCCUUAUCACAAGGAAGAAAUCAGAACAGAUAAAAAAAAUUUAAAAAAACAUAUCACUUUCUCCUUCAUAUUGUUUGUGAUUGUAAUUAUCAGGUUAUCCAUUACCUAACGAACGAAAAGGGGAAAAAGAACAAGAUAGUCAGACAAUAGGCUCAUCAUCCAAACACAGGCAAAAAAAUUAAAAUAGCAUCACGAUGUCCUUAUCCUGAAUACGACACUUGAACCACCAAAUCUGUGAUGCCACCACAAUAUCUAGCAAGGUAAACCCAUCCACCCCACCCCCAGCCAAAGUAGUAAACUCUAUGUCAAACUGAUAUCAGAAACAAAUAAUUUUUGGAGACAAUCCUUUGAAUCAAUCACUCUGUUUCAGCCCUCUAAUUCUUUUUUUGUUAUCCUCACAACAUUUGUGAAAUUGUUUUUAGCCCUCUAAUUCCUCUUUAUGUCAAUGAUUAUUGUUAGCGAAUAUUUUAUGUUGACGAAAAGGAAAUUUGGAAUCAUAGGGCAUGUAUUUGUUGAUGUAGGAAUCAACAAAUUCGCGCACUAUGCAAGGCAGUGGAUGAGGAGGAUCGACCAAGAUGAAAGUAGCAUGUAAAGCUAUCCCGCUGUGCCUUUUCACACCAUCAGGAUUCAGAGGUAUCAGUAAAUUUCUAAAUGUGUUGUUGAGUUAGA